UCUAGGGCGCACGGCGGAUGCCUUGGCACAUGGAGCCGAUGAAGGACGCGGCAAGCUGCGAUAAUCCGCGGUUAGGGGCACACACCCUUCGACCCGCGGGUCUCCGAAUGGGCGAACCCGCCAGGAGAAGUCCUGGCACCCUCCCGGUGAACACAUAGCCGGGAGGGGGACAACCCGGGGAACUGAAACAUCUAAGUACCCGGAGGAGAAGAAAUCAACCUCGAGAUUCCCCGAGUAGCGGCGAGCGAAAGGGGACCUAGGCCAAACCGUGGAGCGGGCGGGCGCCAGCCUUUACCGCCCACGGGGUUGUAGGGCCUCCCGCCCGGGAGCUGGCGCUCCCGGCGGGCAUCCAUCCAGGGGAGCCGAACGGCAUGGGAAGGCCGGCGGCACAGGGUUAGGGCCCCGUAGGCGCACCCUGGGAUGGAGCCCGGUGGAGGUACCUGAGUAGGGCCGGGCACGUGAAACCCGGUCCGAACCCGGGGGGACCACCCUCCAAGCCUGAAUACUCCCAUGUGACCGAUAGCGCACCAGUACCGUGAGGGAAAGGUGAAAAGCACCCCGGGAGGGGAGUGAAACAGUACCUGAAACCGUGCGCCCGCAAGGCGUCGGAGCGGGCUUCGUCCCGUGACGGCGUGCCUUUUGUAGAAUGAGCCAGCGAGUUGCUGGCACGCGGCGAGGUUAAGCUGGGAAGCGAGCCGGAGCGAAAGCGAGUCCGAAACGGGCGAUCCAGUCGCGUGCCGCAGACGCGAAGCCGGGUGAGCUAUCCCUGGGCAGGCUGAAGCGGGGGUAAGACCCCGUGGAGGGCCGAACGGACGUACGUUGAAAAGUGCGCCGAUGACCUGGGGAUAGGGGUGAAAGGCCUAUCAAACCCGGAGAUAUCUCGUUCUCCCCGAAAUAGCUUUAGGGCUAGCGUCGAGAGUUAACCGCCGGAGGUAGAGCACCGGAUCGAUGAGGGGGCUUCGCCGCCUACCGAUUCGAACCGAACUCCGAAUGCCGGUCGGUCCAUAUCUCGGCAGUCAGAGCAUGUGGGCUAAGCUGUGUGCUCGAGAGGGAAACAGCCCAGACCGCCCGCUAAGGCCCCCAAUUCUCAGUUAAGUGGCAAAGGAUGUGCGUCCGCGCAGACAACCAGGAGGUUGGCUUAGAAGCAGCCACCCCUUCAAAGAGUGCGUAACAGCUCACUGGUCGAGUGGACAUGCGCCGACAAUACACGGGGCUAAACUGAGAGCCGAAGCGGCGGCAAUGAUCUUUCAUUGGGUAGGGGAGCGUCCCCAGCGGGGCGAAGCCGGAGGGUCACCGACGGUGGACUGCUGGGGAGUGAGAAUGCUGGCAUGAGUAGCGAGAGACGAGAGAGUAACUCGUCCGCCGUAAACCCGAGGUUUCCUGGGCGAGGCUAAUCCUCCCAGGGUCAGUCGGGGGCUAAGCCGAGGGCGGAAGCCGUAGGCGACGCGCAGCAGGUGGACAUUCCUGCACCGGAGAUGCACCGUCACGACCGACGGGGCGACGGAUUGGGGUGGCUCGGCGGGGUUCUGGACGUCCCCGUGAUGGAGCGCGGCCCGUGGACCAGGCAAAUCCGGUCCACGCGAGGGCGAGGCUCCGGACGAAGCGACUGAGCGAAGCGAGUGAGCCCGUGGUCCCCAGAAAAACCCCUAGGCAGGGGCAUCUCCGCCCGUACCGCAAACCGACACAGGUGGGUGGGUAGAACAUACCGAGGCGAUCGGGUCAACCAUGGUCAAGGAACUCGGCAAAAUGGCCCCGUAACUUCGGGAGAAGGGGCGCCGGCGCGUACGUGGACCCACUUGCUGGGCGAGCGGAGGCCGGCCGCAGUGAAGAGGCCCAAUCGACUGUUUACCAAAAACACAGGACUCUGCAGAAGGCGAGAGCCGACGUAUAGGGUCUGACGCCUGCCCGGUGCCGGAAGGUCACGCGGAGGGGUUAGCGCGAGCGAAGCCCCGAAGCCAAGCCCCGGUAAACGGCGGCCGUAACUAUAACGGUCCUAAGGUAGCGAAAUUCCU
rnacentral:rRNA from 1 species